GAAACAACAGUUUCCCUCUUUAUUUUCCUUUUCCAUGUUUGUCAUCGGUCACGUGCUUUGCAUGCCCCUUCAUCUUUCUCUCUCUCUCUCUCUGUAACUUAGAAUAUAUAAACAACCUUUCUCCGUAACCCAUUCAUUUCAACCUCACCCUUCUUCAUCGAACAAGCUCCAAUUGCCGGAAACCCUAAUUAUUAAUCGAUGGCGAAGAAGAGAAAAUCGAUAGCCACGAGACUCGAUGAGGUGGAUCGAACCAUGUACUCUUCCUUUUGUACUGCUGCUAGUUCUCUUUCUCAUUUAUAUACUCAAGCCACCAACCAUCAUAAGCUCUCUUUUCAAGCCGGUGAACGUCACGGCCUUGUAAUUCUCUUUUUCAUUUCACCCAAUUCUCUUUUUUCUUCACACACCGCAAAGAUUUCAUCUUUUUUUAUUUUCAUUUCUGGGUUUUUUGUUUUCUCAUUAUUCGAUUUGUAUCAAAGUUUAUUUGUUUACCUUUAAAAAAAUAGGAACAGUGGCUUCUCAUAUUUCUGACCGUGGAUUGUGUUUUUUUUGUUUGUUUUGUUUUGCUUUUUCAAUAGUAACUCGGAAAUAAAACCUUUGGAUUGAUUGAUAUGAUGUGGUGAAGGAUGCUAUUGUGUUAUUUUAUUUAUGUUUUUAGUGAAAUCUUGUCAUGAUGGAAUGACAUGUAUAUAUAGAGUCCUAGAAUCUAUGAAAUUUGCUUUGCCUCUUCACAUAUGGGAGUUAAUAUGCUGAAGGCAAGUUUUUGAUUUUAUGAAUUAGUAGUCUCUUCACUCUGUGGAAACUAAUUAACAGACACUGAUAUUGAAAACUGAUUUGUUUCUCCCUUCCUCCUGUUUUAGGGUGGAAUUUUAAGCUCAGACAGCACAGUGAUUCUUUACUGCAUCCUAAUAGCCCUUUGAAAGUUUCAAUUUCGUCAAUGUGGAUUUAAUUUAUUUGUCUUUUUACAGUUCAUUGUUGGAUUGUUUUUAUGUAGUUGGUUCAACUUCAUAACUUUAGAGAACAUUUUUGAAUUGCUAUCUCUUAUUCAUAUGUUGCUGACUCUACUGUUAGAUAUCAAAUUAAUCAAACCAUAGAUUGGUGCUUGCUUUACGAGAACAUUUUUUAUUUUCCACAAUCCACGUGUUUUUAGUCCUCCACGUUCUCCUAAAUAUUUGCUUCACACUGAUGUUUGUUUUGUGGAGGUGGGUUAGUCUCGUGAAAGUGUGUCCCUGCUCAAAUAUUUGUUUGCACAAAUGCCCCAUGUUCUUGUCCCCCUUUCUCGUCCUUCAAUCUUUUACAGCUUGGGUUUGGUAUGACAAAUUUGAAGAUUUGGGAAGUUAUUCCCCGUUCUGAGUCUGACAUUCUUUUGUUGUAGUAUAUCUAGUAUUUUGUUUUUAGUUUUGAGUGUUAGGAGCUUGCAAAAGUAGUAACUGUUUCUGGCAUGCUUGUAUUUCUGAAAUUUACUGUCAUGCUUAAAAUUCUUCGGUGCUGUGUACUUUUUUUUGGGGGUCAUAUUUGUUGUUAUUAUCUCGUUUGACCUCAUUUCCAGUUCAUAAGUAGAUCAUGUUUGUUCUUUCUCACCUUGUAUGGUGUCUAAUUGGUUCCUUUUAGCACAAAUGACCAAGGCCAUUUCUAUGAUCUCCUAUUUUUCUUGGUGAAAUCUCAUUCUCAAGUUGACGAGUUGAUGUUUCUUAAUUAUUAGAUUUUAGCAUGUCUUGCAGCUUCCUUCUUUUUUUGACAAUUGGUCACAAACUGUUAUAAUAAAAAUUGUGCAUCUAAUAUGGGCUUUGCCCCUAUGUUCAGAAAUUAAGCAUGUCUUGACAUUUCGUCAAUGUUGGACGUCCUUAUGAUUUCAGGAAAAUCUUUAUCAGUGGAUCUUGAGACAACAGGAGGGAGGAUCAAGAGUUGCAACAGCUGAUAUACUUAACUACAUUCAGAAUGAGCUAGAUUAUUGUGUAGAGGAGCCAUCCAUGUCGCCCAGAACACUGCCACAACAGUCACAACCAGUAAUGCAUAUAGCAAAUUCAGGAUCUUCUGGCCAAACAGUUGUUGGACAGGGACUCCGAUCUGAACAAUGUGAUAAUCAAUCAAAGAAUUCUGUUUUUUCAAAUGCUUUAUCAAGCCCCAUUCGCCGUAGCCUUCAGCAUUAUCAAAUUAGCGAGGGAGGGAACUACCCUAGUGGUAUCUCCGUGGGGAAUGGAAACCGGAACAAUGAAAUCAGUUUUCAUCACCAGCAAGGCCGAGAUUCUACCGCAUUGAGUUCCAAUGAUUCGGCCAUGGACAUGCAUGCAGACUAGUCAGUAGUCCUGUGUAUUGGUUUUACCUACAGAAUAUUCUUGUUUGAUUAUCCUCCUGCAUUACCUGCAAAAGAAGGGAAUCAAAAUAGCCAUUGCAAUUGCAUAUCUGGUUUUAUUUGUUGCAUCCUACAAGAAAUAGUGGCAGGUUGGACCAGUUAUAUUAAACCUAUUAGUAUGCUUUUGUCACUCCAGUGACUAGUUUGGAUCUUAAAUGUUUCUUUGUAAAGAUUUUUUUUUGGUUGAAAUAGUUUGAGUGCAUUUAAACUUGUACCUUGCUUUCCCCAACCCCUCUUUCUCAAAGACAACCUUUUCAAUGUAGGGAUUGCUUCUAUCUGAAGUUUCCUCUGUAAAUCUGUCCUUAGCAGAUUUUUCUAUAUGGCAAUUUACAGCUUCAGGAAAAA
rnacentral:lncRNA from 1 species